AAUAGAUACCCCGGUAGUCCACGCCGUAAACGAUGAAUGCUAGGUGUUAGGGGUUUCGAUACCCUUGGUGCCGAAGUUAACACAUUAAGCAUUCCGCCUGGGGGAGUACGGUCGCAAGACUGAAACUCAAAGGAAUUGACGGGGACCCGCACAAGCAGUGGAGUAUGUGGUUUAAUUCGAAGCAACGCGAAGAACCUUACCAGGUCUUGACAUCCCUCUGAUCGUCCUAGAGAUAGGGCUUUCCUUCGGGACAGAGGAGACAGGUGGUGCAUGGUUGUCGUCAGCUCGUGUCGUGAGAUGUUGGGUUAAGUCCCGCAACGAGCGCAACCCUUGAUCUUAGUUGCCAGCACUUUGGGGUGGGCACUCUAGGAUGACUGCCGGUGACAAACCGGAGGAAGGUGGGGAUGACGUCAAAUCAUCAUGCCCCUUAUGACCUGGGCUACACACGUACUACAAUGGCCGAUACAACGGGAAGCGAAACCGCGAGGUGGAGCCAAUCCUAUCAAAGUCGGUCUCAGUUCGGAUUGCAGGCUGCAACUCGG
rnacentral:rRNA from 1 species